CGAAAGCCUGACGGAGCCAGACCGCGUGGGGGAGGAAGGCCCUUGGGUUGUAAACCCCUUUUCUCAGGGAAGAAACCUGACGGUACCUGAGGAAUCAGCCUCGGCUAACUCCGUGCCAGCAGCCGCGGUAAUACGGAGGAGGCAAGCGUUAUCCGGAAUCAUUGGGCGUAAAGCGUUCGUAGGCGGCUGUUCAAGUCUGCUGUCAAAGACCGAGGCUCAACCUCGGGUCGGCAGUGGAAACUGGAUAGCUAGAGGUCGGUAGGGGCAAAGGGAAUUCCCAGUGUAGCGGUGAAAUGCGUAGAUAUUGGGAAGAACACCGGUGGCGAAAGCGCUCUACUGGGUCGCACCUGACCCUCAGGGACGAAAGCUAAGGUAGCG
rnacentral:rRNA from 1 species